UCCUCUUCUCUCCUCUUCCCAUUACAUUUCUCCACCUUCUCCCUGGUACCACCACCGCCCCCCACUCCACAUUCGUCCUCCGCCCCCAUUCCCCUAUCCUCCAGUAAAAUUACAAAAAACCCUAACACCAAAAAAACCCAAACCCCUGUCGCAAUGAAAUCUCCACCCCCAAAUAGCUCUUUGGAAUAGAAUCAAGGAACUUACCAAAUCCAUUAUAUGCUAUUGGGGUUUUGGCAUGUUUCCGGUGUGAAAGAAGGAAAAAGAAAUGCGUAUGCGAUGGUGAUGUACGUAGGUACGCCGAAGGACUACGAAUUCUACAUAGCCAUACUCGUGCUUCUCAAAUCGCUGGCUACGCUCGACGUUGAAAUUGAUCUUGCUGUGAUUGCUUCCCUUGAUGUUCCUCCUCGAUGGAUUCGAGCUCUGUGUCAAUCGGUACUACUACAUGUGUUUGAAUGACCUACUUGCACUUGGCGGUGGGGCUGCUUGGUUAACGUUGCACAAGCUCAAUCUGCAAACACCACCACUGAUCCUUCCGAAGGU